CCUGGCUCACGAUGAACGCUAGCUACAGCGCUUAACACAUGCAAGUCGAGGGGCAGCAUGGUCUUAGCUUGCUAAGGCCGAUGGCGACCGGCGCACGGGUGAGUAACACGUAUCCAACCUGCCGUCUACUCUUGGACAGCCUUCUGAAAGGAAGAUUAAUACAAGAUGGCAUCAUGAGUCCGCAUGUUCACAUGAUUAAAGGUAUUCCGGUAGACGAUGGGGAUGCGUUCCAUUAGAUAGUAGGCGGGGUAACGGCCCACCUAGUCUUCGAUGGAUAGGGGUUCUGAGAGGAAGGUCCCCCACAUUGGAACUGAGACACGGUCCAAACUCCUACGGGAGGCAGCAGUGAGGAAUAUUGGUCAAUGGGCGAGAGCCUGAACCAGCCAAGUAGCGUGAAGGAUGACUGCCCUAUGGGUUGUAAACUUCUUUUAUAAAGGAAUAAAGUCGGGUAUGGAUACCCGUUUGCAUGUACUUUAUGAAUAAGGAUCGGCUAACUCCGUGCCAGCAGCCGCGGUAAUACGGAGGAUCCGAGCGUUAUCCGGAUUUAUUGGGUUUAAAGGGAGCGUAGAUGGAUGUUUAAGUCAGUUGUGAAAGUUUGCGGCUCAACCGUAAAAUUGCAGUUGAUACUGGAUAUCUUGAGUGCAGUUGAGGCAGGCGGAAUUCGUGGUGUAGCGGUGAAAUGCUUAGAUAUCACGAAGAACUCCGAUUGCGAAGGCAGCCUGCUAAGCUGCAACUGACAUUGAGGCUCGAAAGUGUGGGUAUCAAACAGGAUUAGAUACCCUGGUAGUCCACACGGUAAACGAUGAAUACUCGCUGUUUGCGAUAUACAGCAAGCGGCCAAGCGAAAGCGUUAAGUAUUCCACCUGGGGAGUACGCCGGCAACGGUGAAACUCAAAGGAAUUGACGGGGGCCCGCACAAGCGGAGGAACAUGUGGUUUAAUUCGAUGAUACGCGAGGAACCUUACCCGGGCUUAAAUUGCAGAUGAAUUACGGUGAAAGCCGUAAGCCGCAAGGCAUCUGUGAAGGUGCUGCAUGGUUGUCGUCAGCUCGUGCCGUGAGGUGUCGGCUUAAGUGCCAUAACGAGCGCAACCCUUGUUGUCAGUUACUAACAGGUUCCGCUGAGGACUCUGACAAGACUGCCAUCGUAAGAUGUGAGGAAGGUGGGGAUGACGUCAAAUCAGCACGGCCCUUACGUCCGGGGCUACACACGUGUUACAAUGGGGGGUACAGAGGGCCGCUACCACGCGAGUGGAUGCCAAUCCCAAAAACCUCUCUCAGUUCGGACUGGAGUCUGCAACCCGACUCCACGAAGCUGGAUUCGCUAGUAAUCGCGCAUCAGCCACGGCGCGGUGAAUACGUUCCCGGGCCUUGUACACACCGCCC
rnacentral:rRNA from 1 species